ensembl:lncRNA
UGGAAUACGAAAGUCAGACAUGAGGAGUAUAACUGUUAUGAAAUGACUUGAAACAAUUAUAAUCAUGUUUGCUUAGAAUUAGAAACAAGCGUGUUUUUUUUUAAGUUAUCAAAACUAAUGUUACUUAAUCCAAAUUGUUUAUCAGAGAAUGAUAAAGAGGAGGAAUUGUUGUAGAAAAAUUUAUAUUUUACUCUUUCUUAUUUACUUUCUUAGACAUUGGGUGGGUUUUUAUAUAUUUUUAUUUUUCCUUUUGAUUUAACUUGUGUAUUUCUAUGUAUGUCACCUGGAAUGCAACAAAGACAUCACACAGUAAAACAAAGAGCCUUUGAAGUCUUUAGUGUGGGUAAUUUAUGCAGGAAAGACAGAGGGUUUGUUGACCUCAGAGAUGUGAAGAUAAUAAAGCCCAGGGGGUUAGAAGGACCAUUGUUUUUUCUGAAAACAGCUAGGUUUGGUUUACGGGGUUAAGUGGAAAUUUACAGAGAAGGAACCUUGUAAGAAGUGGGGGGGUGAUAGCAGUAUAAGAAGGCUGUCUGUUUUCAGUGUGAUUUUAGGUCUGUUGUGUUUCAGGGUAGCUGCUGGAACAUUGUGAACACACCUCUUUAAGGAAAAUAAAUUUCUUUCCUUAAAUAUAAUUUGAUUCCUUGUCUCUUACACUGGGAUGCUAUUUGUUAAUAAUUGUUUUUGCCACAACAGACCGCCAACUGGACGUUCUUUUAAUUUGAAAAUCAAGCAGCCAAUCAGGGCUGGCUCUUGAUAUUGUACCUUAACCUUUAAAGGAAAAGGUACAUAUAUGUACCUUUUAAUGCUUGGGAACAUAUAAGCGAACCGAAUGUAUGCAAUUAUUAACAUUUUACAUAUUAACAAAUUAACAUAUUAACAAAUUAUUUACAUUGGUAAUCAUGAAACUGACAUAUUAACCACACUUUCUUCCUGUUUUUCACAAAUCAUCCUGUCCUGCUCUAUCUGGAUUCUCUAUAAUAUACAAAAACAGAAAGAUAAGGGACACAGUAACUUAGCAAAAAAUAUCAAUAAAAGACAAAUUGAGCAAUGGCUUGUUACCUUAGACUUAGACUUAGAAAACUUUAACUUUAUUAUUAUUUUUUUUAUAAAUGAAAAUCCUUUCACCUUUUCACCUAAAAAUUGGUGCAAAGAAAACAUUGAUUUGAUGUAUCUGUUUUAGUCCAAAAGUGC